rnacentral:rRNA from 1 species
CGACUGCGGAGGACAUUAUCGAAUAUAAACCUGGAUGAACUGUUGCUGGCUUCUCUUUGAGGGGGGCAUGUGCACGUUUAUCCUCUUUAUUUUUCCACCUGUGCACCUUUUGUAGGCUUGGAUUAUCUCAGUGGUUCUAACGUGUCUUUCAAAGGCACAAGAACUUUUUUGGGGCUGCUGUGUUUAAACACAUGUUUAUCAGCUUUCCCUUUUAUUUUCCAAGUCUAUGUUUGCUAUAUACACUCCAGAAAUGUAAUAGAAUGCUGUACUUGGGUCAUUUGUACCUAUAAUAAAAUCAGUACAACUUUCAGCAACGGAUCUCUUGGCUCUCGCAUCGAUGAAGAACGCAGCGAAAUGCGAUAAGUAAUGUGAAUUGCAGAAUUCAGUGAAUCAUCGAAUCUUUGAACGCAUCUUGCGCUCCUUGGUAUUCCAAGGAGCAUGCCUGUUUGAGUAUCAUUAAAUUAUCAACUGUGCCACUUUGGUUACAGAUUGGAUGUGGGAGAUUUCUUGCAGGCUUUCGACUUCUCUUUGAAUGCCAGCUCUCCUGAAAUGUAUUAGCAGUGCCUUUGUUGGUUCAUUAGGUGUGAUAAUUUAUCUACAUCUUCACAUGGUGCCUUCAUUUGUGAAAGGUCAUAUUGCUUCUAAUUGUCUUUGGACAAAAAACACGUUAAUGUGUGACAAACUUGAUCUCAAAUCAGGCAGGACUACCCGCUGAACUUAAGCAUAUCA